rnacentral:tRNA from 2 species
GCAGUCGUGGCCGAGCGGUUAAGGCGAUGGACUCGAAAUCCAUUGGGGUCUCCCCGCACAGGUUCGAAUCCUGUCGACUGCG